rfam:Candidatus Desantisbacteria bacterium CG2_30_40_21 cg2_3.0_scaffold_6435_c, whole genome shotgun sequence.
CCGUGCUAAAUGGGGAGAUAGCGGUGCCCUGUACCUGCAAUCCGCUUCAGCAGGGUUGAAUUCCUAUAAUAUGAGGCUUGUCUUGGUGAGAAUGAAUUAGAAGAAAGGAUGCUGAUAGAUGGGUCCUGUGCUAUUCUUAAUUGCCCAACCCCGUCAGGUUCGGAAGGAAGCAGCGGUAAGUAGUUGAGAGUGUGUCACAGGGGUGCCUGUCUGGAGUCUGGACUUAGAAUUAUCACUCGUUAAGGCCUGUCGAAGAUAGGUGCACGG